AGAACUUAGCAGAGAUGCUUUGGUGCCUUCGGGAACUCUGAGACAGGUGCUGCAUGGCUGUCGUCAGCUCGUGUUGUGAAAUGUUGGGUUAAGUCCCGCAACGAGCGCAACCCUUAUCCUUUGUUGCCAGCGGCUCGGCCGGGAACUCAAAGGAGACUGCCGGUGAUAAACCGGAGGAAGGUGGGGAUGACGUCAAGUCAUCAUGGCCCUUACGGCCAGGGCUACACACGUGCUACAAUGGCGCAUACAAAGAGAAGCGACCUCGCGAGAGCAAGCGGACCUCAUAAAGUGCGUCGUAGUCCGGAUUGGAGUCUGCAACUCGACUCCAUGAAGUCGGAAUCGCUAGCAAUCGUAGAUCAGAAUGCUACGGUGAAUACGUUCCCGGGCCUUGUACACACCGCCCGUCACACCAUGGGAGUGGGUUGCAAAAGAAGUAGGUAGCUUAACCUUCGGGAGGGCGCUUACCACUUUGUGAUUCAUGACUGGGGUGAAGUCGUAACAAGGUAGGCGUAGUGCU
rnacentral:rRNA from 1 species